rnacentral:rRNA from 1 species
AACGAACGCUGGCGGCAGGCCUAACACAUGCAAGUCGAACGAGAUCUUCGGAUCUAGUGGCGGACGGGUGAGUAACGCGUGGGAACGUGCCCUUCUCUACGGAAUAGUCCUGGGAAACUGGGUUUAAUACCGGUAUACGCCCUUCGGGGGAAAGAAUUUCGGGGAAGGAUCGGCCCGCGUUGGAUUAGGUAGUUGGUGGGGUAAAUGGGCCUUACCGAAGCCGACGAUCCAUAGCUGGUUUGAGAGGAUGAUCAGCCACACUGGGACUGAGACACGGCCCAGACUCCUACGGAGGCAGCAGUGGGGAAUCUUAGACAAUGGGGGCAACCCUGAUCUAGCCACUGCCGGUGAGUGACGAAGGCCCUA